rnacentral:lncRNA from 1 species
GUGAUUUGAGAGGAAGAUUAUCAGUGAAUAAAGGCUUAAAUUUCGUCUUGACUUCUUGUAUGUAUUGUCAUGUAAAGGCAGUGCCAUUCAAUCCAGCUCUUGUAAAGCCGAUAUGAGGGUCUGGAACAGGUCUGUGCUUGAUAAACUCCCUCACUGGAUGUUUGAUGUUACGGUAGAAAUGCAGAACUGUCGCGACACGUAACAUAUAGAUCUUAUAUAUGCUGAAAACACCGCCGCGGGAGAUUUACUGCCGGAUUCCAGCGAGGCGAUGGAGACGGUGAGUGUGAUUUAUGGUCACCUGUGCGCUUGAGGAGAGCUCGAGUUACGCUUCAGGCACAAACGAGAGUCAGGAUCUGACAGCCGCUGAUGCUCCUGACGCUGACAGGAACAGAUCUGUGGGAUGGUGUCUGAUUGUGAGAUCUCUGUUGCAGCUGCAGACGCCGAAGAACCUGCACCUGAAGAAACAGCACCUGAAGAACCUGCACCUGAAGAAACAGCACCUGAAGAACCUGCACCUGAAGAAACAGCACCUGAAGAACCUGCACCUGAAGAAACAGCACCUGAAGAACCUGCACCUGAAGAAACAGCACCUGAAGAACCUGCACCUGAAGAAACAGCACCUGAAGAACCUGCACCUGAAGAAACAGCACCUGAAGAACCUGCACCUGAAGAAACAGCACCUGAAGAACCUGCACCUGAAGAAGCAUCACCUGAAGAGCCAGCGGAGGAGGCAGAAGCUCCUGCAGAGUCUGAAGACACAAACCCUGAGACAGGUACGCCUCGUUUACUUCAGGUGUUCAGUUCUGGUCAGACACAAGACACAAGUGCAAAACCAAGGCACAUAUACAUAUACAUAUACAUAUACAUAUACAUAUACAUAUACAUAUACAUAUACAUAUGGAUAUAAAAAACAGCGAUAGAAAACCUCACGUUUUAAAAAGGGCCUGGAAAAGUCAUGGUCAUUUCUAAAAGAUAAUGUGUCCCAGUUAUUCUCAGCCCUAAAAUAUUUCAUAGCCAGAAGCUGCUCUUUCUGAACGCAAUCUUUAAUAAAAUGAUUUUAAAAAUCCUUCAAAUAUCCUGUAACCAUGAAGGCCUGGAAAAGGCAUAGAGACGCAUCAGACGGUGGGCUGGGAAGCCUGUGAUAAUCAUGUGGUUUUGGCUAUGACGUAUUUUCCUCUCUGCUGCCGUUCCGCUGAGAGUCGGCGGAUCAGACAAGCUGGCUUGGCAACUAAACGAGUUUAAGAGGAAACACUAAAGUCACUAACUGGAAAUAAAAUAAAAACUGAAACUGUGAACUAAAACUAUUAAAACUCAUUCAGUAAUUGAAUAAAAGCUCAA